GACGAACGCUGGCGGCGUGCCUAAUACAUGCAAGUGGGACGCAAGGGAACACACUGUGCUUGCACACCGUGUUUUCUUGAGUCGCGAACGGGUGAGUAACGCGUAGGUAACCUGCCUAUUAGCGGGGGAUAACUAUUGGAAACGAUAGCUAAUACCGCAUAAUAUUAAUUAUUGCAUGAUAAUUGAUUGAAAGAUGCAAGCGCAUCACUAGUAGAUGGACCUGCGUUGUAUUAGCUAGUUGGUAAGGUAAGAGCUUACCAAGGCGACGAUACAUAGCCGACCUGAGAGGGUGAUCGGCCACACUGGGACUGAGACACGGCCCAGACUCCUACGGGAGGCAGCAGUAGGGAAUCUUCGGCAAUGGACGAAAGUCUGACCGAGCAACGCCGCGUGAGUGAAGAAGGUUUUCGGAUCGUAAAGCUCUGUUGUAAGUCAAGAACGUGUGUGAGAGUGGAAAGUU
rnacentral:rRNA from 1 species